AGCUACGUGUCCGAGUGGUAAGGUACAGGUCUGCAAAACCUUUCACAGCGGUUCGAAUCCGCUCGUAGCGU
rnacentral:tRNA from 1 species